AUUACCGAUGCAAUCCAAAAAACGAUUCCGUCGUUUUACCGUGUGAACUGUACCAAACCAUUUUAGGGGUCGGCUGGUCCGUUUAAAUGGCGGUCGUGCGCGAGUUGAUCGCGCCCGCUCCGCCAGCCCCGCCUGUGUUUUUUAUCUCAUACGUUUUACGAUCUGACAAAGUGUGGCCGCUUUUCGAAGUGUGUCACUACGAGCAAAAAAACGAGAUACAACUUUUGACGGUGGAUCUCUUGGCUCACGCAUCGAUGAAGAACGCAGCCAGCUGCGAUAAGUAGUGUGAAUUGCAGAAUUCAGUGAAUCAUCGAAUCUUUGAACGCAAAUGGCGCUCUUGGGUUCUCCCAGGAGCAUGUCUGUCUGAGUGUCGGAUUCCAUGUAACGGACUUGUCAAGUGUCAAGUGCGGCGUUGAGGCGUCACGGCCUUAUUAAAACAUGUUGGCCGUGUCCCUUGAAAGUCAGUGAGACUCGCCGUGGCAUGGGUUUUCUCCCUGCACACUCGCGGAGGCUAAAAAUUCUUUUGCCCUUCGCGUGCUAGGAGCGGCCUGCCCGACGGGACGCAGAGGCGAAAGAAACACCAACAUUCUUGACCUCAGAUCAGGCAAGGCACCCGCGAUAGAUUUAAGCUUAUUAAUAA
rnacentral:rRNA from 1 species